UACGAAGGGUGCAAGCGUUACUCGGAAUUACUGGGCGUAAAGCGUGCGUAGGCGGCGGUUUAAGUCUGCUGUGAAAGCCCUGGGCUCAACCUGGGAAUUGCAGUGGAUACUGGAUCGCUAGAGUGUGGUAGAGGGAUGCGGAAUUUCUGGUGUAGCAGUGAAAUGCGUAGAGAUCAGAAGGAACAUCCGUGGCGAAGGCGGCAUCCUGGGCCAACACUGACACUGAGGCACGAAAGCGUGGGGAGCAAACAGG
rnacentral:rRNA from 1 species